rnacentral:rRNA from 1 species
UACGUAGGGGGCAAGCGUUGUCCGGAAUCAUUGGGCGUAAAGAGCGUGUAGGCGGUUCGGUAAGUCGGCUGUGAAAGUCCAGGGCUCAACCCUGGGAUGCCGGUCGAUACUGCCGGACUAGAGUUCGGAAGAGGCGAGUGGAAUUCCCGGUGUAGCGGUGAAAUGCGCAGAUAUCGGGAGGAACACCUAUGGCGAAGGCAGCUCGCUGGGACGUUACUGACGCUGAGACGCGAAAGCGUGGGGAGCGAACAGG